AUGCAUGAGUUAAUCUGACUCUGGGUAAAUAGGAAAAGGGUUUAUUCAUGUUAAUCUGACUGGGUAUAGUAGGAAAAGGGUUUAUUCAUGUUAAUCUGACUCUGGGUAUAGUAGGAAAAGGGUUUAUUCAUGUUAAUCUGACUCUGGGUAUAGUAGGAAAAGGGUUUAUUCAUGUUAAUCUGACUCUGGGUAUAGUAGGAAAAGGGUUUAUUCAUGUUAAUCUGACUCUGGGUAUAGUAGGAAAAGGGUUUAUUCAUGUUAAUCUGACUCUGGGUAUAGUAGGAAAAGGGUUUAUUCAUGUUAAUCUGACUCUGGGUAUAGUAGGAAAAGGGUUUAUUCAUGUUAAUCUGACUCUGGGUAAGUAGGAAAAGGGUUUAUUCAUGUUAAUCUGACUCUGGGUAAGUAGGAAAAGGGUUUAUUCAUGUUAAUCUGACUCUGGGUAAGUAGGACAAGGGUUUAUUCAUGUUAAUCUGACUCUGGGUAUAGUAGGAAAAGGGUUUAUUAAUGUUAAUCUGACUCUGGGUAUAGUAGGAAAAGGGUUUAUUAAUGUUAAUCUGACUCUGGGUAUAGUAGGAAAAGGGUUUAUUCAUGUUAAUCUGACUCUGGGUAUAGUAGGAAAAGGGUUUAUUCAUGUUAAUCUGACUCUGGGUAAGUAGGACAAGGGUUUAUUCAUGUUAAUCUGACUCUGGGUAUAGUAGGAAAAGGGUUUAUUCAUGUUAAUCUGAGUCUGGGUAUAGUAGGAAAAGGGUUUAUUCAUGUUAAUCUGACUCUGGGUAUAGUAG